CAGUUACAGCUCUGUACCUGGAGCAAUCAAACACCAUCUCAGCUGCUCUGGGAAAAGGUGUGCAAAAGGUCUGCUCCAUGCUCUGGGUGUCUGAGAAAUCAACACAGGACACAUCUCAGACUUUCCAUGGUAUCUUCACUCCUCCAUGUGAACAAGACCAGGACUGACAAAAUUCUUCAGCUGAAACAUCUGAGGAAAGACAUUUCAUCAAAGAUGGACGUUUCCAUGGAAAUAUGUUUCGGAUGAAAUUUUUUGAAUCUUUCACAGAUAAAAUAUAAAUAACUGGUUGGACAAGUUUUCAAUAAAUCAAAAUAGAAACUUUGCUGGAGAAACU